rnacentral:rRNA from 1 species
AUGGAUGCCAAGAAGUUCCUGCAGAUGGUCGAAGACAAGAAGAAGAGACUCCUCGAGAAGAAGGAAGCCCCUCUGAAAUGGCAGCAGAAACUGGAAGCAGCAAUCAAGGCCACUGAAGAAAAGGAGAAGAAGCUCAAGUCGAAAAAGCACAGGAGACGAAGCUAUUCUUCCUCAGAAUCUGACAGUGAAUCCGAGAGCGACAGUGAUCGGAAACACAGGAAGAGGAAGGACCGCAAAAGGCACAAAAGACAUGGCCAUUCUGACUCUGAUGGUGCCAGGAGGCGCAAGCACAGGUCAAAGAGGAGGAGCUCGGGCUCUAGCGACGAGAGCGACAGUGAUGAAUAUGAUGGCGAAUCUGAAGAAGAGCGCCGAAGGAAGAAGCACUCGCACAGGAGGAAGCAUCGCCGACACUCUUCAAGGUCAGAGUCUGACGCCUCAGAUUACAGCAGUGAUGAUGAUGAGCGAAGGUCAACCAGGAAGGACCAUUCUAGGAGCCGGAGGCGUCGCCACCGGUCCUCAGACGAUGAAUCUGAGGAGAAGAUCAGGUCGAGGCAUAGGAAGCGUCAUCACAGAUCAAGUGACGAGGACAAGCCGUCAGAUUCUGACAACCAUAAGCGCCACAGGAGCCGCUCUAUGUCCUUGGAUGAUGGUGCUGCUGGUGAGCCAGACAAGAUGAAUGAUGGCAAGGGGUCUCACAAAAGCCGGCAUCACCGCCGCCACCACCACCAUCAUGAUCAUCGUGUGAACUCUGCUGAACCCAGUGACGGGAAGCAACUCGUGUAA